AGCCUUGAAUAAAGGCUUUGCCUUUCAAACUCUGUCCUGCCCAUUUUUCUUUGACAUGUUCAGAUGUUGGCAAGGCUGAAAACUGCAGGGGAUCUGGUUGUGAUAAUCCAGGCCUGAAUAUAUACAAAUAUGAACAAGACCCACAAGGACUGCUCAUCACCCCAGUAUUCCAUUUACAACAUCCUGAAUGAACUCCCGACCAGGCCUAUAAUUCUCUCUUGCAGCCAAAUAUCCUGCUUACUCCUGGUAUCUACCUGGUCAGCAGACCUCAUGAGUUAUCGCCCAGUGACAAAACCAUCCCAAAGAUGCACCAGUCCAGCACAAAGUAUGACUGUCAAUCUCACAAAAGAUGUAGGGUUCUACGAGGAUACUCAGAGUAUAAGAAUUACGCUAAGUGAAAUAAGCCAAGCCCAGAAAGACACAUACUUUAUUAUUUCAUGUAUCUGUGGAAUCUAAAAGAGUCAAAUUCAUGGCAGCAGGGAGAGGGCUGAAGAAGGGGGAGAUGUUGAUCAAAGUUUCUAUGUAUACAAAGACCAAACCAUCACAUUAUGCCUCAUAAAUAUAUACAAUUAUUAUUUGCUAAUUACAAGUAAAGCAAUACAAGAAGAAAAAAAGGAAUCAUAAGUAAAUCCAUGACAAGUGAAAACGCAAUGGAGAGAAGGGAAUCAAUGAUUGAAGAAGAGAAAGG
rnacentral:lncRNA from 1 species